GUGCCGGCUCCCGUUGGGAUCGGCUCCGGCUUCCAGGAGGAUUCGGACGCAGUCCAAGUGACCGUUGACUACCGCCACAUAGAGAGCCGUUUGGCCUUUGACGUCGACCAGGUCCACCUCGGCUCCCUGGGCGAUCAGGAUGACAGAUGACGGACGGUGGGUCACGGCUCGUGCAGACGCGCUCACCUGCAGGGGUGGAGGCGGGCAGGUCGGACACGGUAAUGAGCGGAGGGAAGCGGACACUGGGCGGUUCGUCCGAGUCCGGACCGUCAGCCAUGCUCCACGGCUGAACGCAGACACGAAUGCGGAGGGAAAAGCGGGGAUCCGGAGCAGACAGGAGCGCAUAAACAAGCGUGACUGUGUUGAUGAAGGCGUCUGCGCAGAUCACUGCGCCACUUCCGGGAUGGCUGCGCAGCUUAAAGGGCCAGCGCGGUUUCAACCAGGAAAUGAUCAAACCAACCAUGGAUUAAAAAGUUAUGUUCGUUAA